AGGUCAUGAUGUGGGAAAUUCCUUAGCAGGCCUUGUAUCUCUCCCAAGCUUCAUAUAGUGACUCCCCAACUUGUUGUUCAAAGUUAGCAAUGACCUUCUUCAAUUU